GUUUUCUCUUGGAUUUAACAAAAUGAAAUUUGGAAACUAUAAAUAUAGUCUUUAGGUAUCAUGAGUGUGGUUUAAGAUGGAAAAAAGAUUUACUUCCCCUCCAAAGGGGUGGUAAAGUAUACAGAAUAUACUAGGUACUAAUUUGUAAUUUUACUUUCUGUUGGCUUUUUCCACUAACUCAAAGUUUCCCCAUUUAUUAUUUUUCUUUUUCUAACUCAAAUAUUUUCUCUUUCCUUGAAUGGAAAAUUUCUUGAACUUUCAUAGCUGCCUGUAAUAAAUCAUGCAUCUACUGAUGAGUUGCAAAGGCAAAAAGGUUGGAAAAGAACUCUUUCGACCUCUCACCUCUCUUUAUUGAAUUUCACAAUUUGAAACAAUGCUACUUCUUAAUCUGUCCAACAUCCAGGUAUCUACUUACGUGGAGAGUACUGCGUUAUUAUCCUACGGAGCGAUGGGUGAAGCUCCUCAAAAACAUUUUCGUAUACGUGAGUGUGAGCGAUAAAACGGCUCAUCCCACUUCUUCGAAAUGAGCUUCAUCUGAUCGCUUCUCCGCUCUCUCACGAGCACUGGACACCCAAAAGAUGGAUCUGAGCUUUCCCUAAUCCUAUUUCUCCUUCCAUAACGUCUUUUGCCUUCAGAAUAAAAACCUACCCUA
rnacentral:lncRNA from 1 species